rnacentral:rRNA from 1 species
AGUAAAUAGAUACCCCGGUAGUCCACGCCAUAAACGAUGGAUACUUGGUGUUGGAGGUAUUGACCCCUUCAGUGCCGGAGCUAAACGCGUUAAGUAUCCCGCCUGGGGAGUACGGUCGCAAGAUUAAAACUCAAAGAAAUUGACGGGGGCCCGCACAAGCGGUGGAGCAUGUGGUUUAAUUCGAUGCAACGCGAAGAACCUUACCUGGGUUUGACAUCUACUGGAAGACUGCCAGAAAUGGCGUCGCCUUCGGGCCGGUAGACAGGUGCUGCAUGGCUGUCGUCAGCUCGUGUCGUGAGAUGUUGGGUUAAGUCCCGCAACGAGCGCAACCCUUACCUUUAGUUGCCAGCAUUCAGUUGGGCACUCUAGAGGGACUGCCUACGUUAAGUAGGAGGAAGGUGGGGAUGACGUCAAGUCCUCAUGGCCCUUAUAUCCGGGGCUACACACGUGCUACAAUGGACGAUACAGAGGGAAGCAAACCGUAAGGGUGAGCAAAUCCCAUAAAGUCGUUCUAAGUUCGGAUUGAGGUCUGCAACUCGACCUC